AGGGACUUAGGGAGGAAAAAUAGGCAAAAACAAUUCAUUUAUUUAAAUAUAUAUAUUUAAAUAAAUGAAUUGUUUUUGCCUAUUUUUCCUCCC
rnacentral:sRNA from 1 species